GGCUCGGUAGCUUAGUCGGUAAAGCAUUUAUGUACCAUAUAAGGGUCAUGAGUUGAAAUCUCACUUGAGCUG
rfam:Aedes albopictus isolate Foshan contig52969, whole genome shotgun sequence.